GACGAACGCUGGCGGCGUGCCUAAUACAUGCAAGUCGAGCGGACCGAUGGGAGCUUGCUCCUUUAGGCUAGCGGCGGACGGGCGAGCAACACGUGGGCAACCUGCCCUGUAGACUGGGAUAACCUCGGGAAACCGGAGCUAAUACCGGAUAACACCGAAAACCGCAUGGUUUUCGGUUGAAAGGCGGCUUUUAGCUGUCACUGCAGGAUGGGCCCGCGGCGCAUUAGCUAGUUGGUGAGGUAACGGCUCACCAAGGCGACGAUGCGUAGCCGACCUGAGAGGGUGACCGGCCACACUGGGGCUGAGACACGGCCCAG
rnacentral:rRNA from 1 species